CUUGACUUGAGAAAUGUGAGUUUUGGGGCAGAACUUGGAGAGGAGGGCCGAAAAUCUGAUGUUUGAAGUGUGAAUAAACAGGUUUCAGGUGAAGGUUCAUAUAUUCCGAUUGUGAAUUACAAUAAAUAAGCUCUGCAAAAUAAAUUAAAACCAGUGGAACUAAUAAACUUAACCUUUAUUCAAAUAAUUAAACCUAAUCUUAUCUAAUCUAAACAUUCAUAAUUGGAAUUAAACUUUAUUUUAAAUUUCUAUCUCUAUUAAUUUCUAUCUCUAUUACUCUAUCUCCAUCUUUAUCAUUCACCUUCGACACGUUAGCUUUGUUCACAAAUGCUUUGUGUUGAAAUGUGAUCCACAAUGUUUCUUGGGCUUUCACAGCCUUUAGGUUGUCUGGCCAGUCAAUUGUUGUUUUGUCACAAAGCGGACCUUUGAGUGGAAUAUGGCUUAUUAACCAUGAUGCAAGAUGGUGAUAAUAUUAUAUGACCUUGUUUUUGAGGUUGUGCCUACUCGGAGUCAAUGAAUUUGUAUCAUAAACUGUUCCAAAUCGUUUUUCUUGUGCUUAUAUUAUUUAUAUUCCAGUACUUAAUGCCCCUAACUUCUCUUUGGAUGAUAACCCUGAUGAUGUUAAGGAUGUUAACAGUAUUUUCAGCCUGUUUUACCUCUAGUUUUUCAAGUACUUGGAUGAGCUGCUUGUUAUGGACAUUUUGUAAUAUGUGUGGACAUAUUUGUUUUACUGCAUAUUAUUGAUUAAAUGUGUAGGGAGUUUUCAUUGAUUUUCUUCUCCCAAACACCCUAGGUCUCUGCAAAUUUCAUAACGAAUUUUGAUAUCAUCCGAAAUCUGUCUGGAAUGAUGCUGUUCUUGCUAAUUUCCCAAAUUGGUUAUUGUGUACUUGGAAGUAUUCAUCUUCUGAAAUUCAAGGAAAUAUGUACGUGCAUUUGGUGCACAAUUUACCACAAUGGUUUUCAUGAUGUUAUCUAUUAUGCAUGUUUGAGCCACAUUAUUCCAAAAAAAUACAUUCUUAAACAAUGAUUUGACAUCAUUUCAACUACACAUUCUUUAAUAAAAUAAUAUUACACGCAGAUCAAAAAAAUUUCCUCAUUUUUUAACCACAUAUUUCCCAUCAAUACACUAUUCAAGAAUGCAUGAUUACCAAAAUAAUGUGGUUCAAACACUAUAUGAUAUCUAACUGGACAAUAUCCUCAAGUAAUUUCAAACUUUUGGUGAAUUUGAAAUUUUUUGGAGUAUUCUGAAAGUGGUACCGUUGUCAGCAUUAACUACAUGAGGAAGAACCAUAGUAAAAGGAAAAUGACAUUUAAUCUUCAAUGUUUAAGUAGUGUUAUAUUUUUUUAUGAUAUCAAAAUCCUAUGAUGCAACGACAUGACAUGUGUUGGAUAUGUCGACAAACGAUUUUUCAAAAAAGUAUUGAUAUGAUAUGUCAUCGUCACU
rnacentral:lncRNA from 1 species